rnacentral:misc_RNA from 1 species
CCUUUUUUUUUUUCCUUCUUCUUCAGACUCCUCGACAAAUUUUGAUAGGGGUAUAUAUUUAGAACCAGAGAUGUUAGAGCAGUUACUGAUAUUCACUAGAGGGGGCUUGAUCCUCUGGACGUGUAAGGAGCUUGGAAAUGCUCUUAGAGGUUCUCCAAUUGACACAUUGAUUCGUUCAUGUCUUUUGGAGGAACGUUCAGGUGCCGCUUCAUUUAACUAUGAUGUACCAGGAGCUGCAUACACUCUUAAAUGGACGUUUCACAAUGAUCUGGGGCUUGUGUUUGUUGCUGUGUAUCAGAAAAUUCUUCAUCUAUUGUAUGUGGAUGAAUUGCUUUCUAUGGUUAAGCAGGAAUUCUCAGAGAUUUAUGACCCAAAAAGAACUGUCUACAAUGAAUUUGACAAUGUAUUUCAGCAGCUUAGGAAGGAGGCCGAGGCACGUGCUGAGGAAAUGAAGAAAUCGAAGCAGGUGAGCAAGCCUGUAAACCAUAAUCUUGGUAAGAAGCAAGGACAAGUGCAGAAGGGCAUUAUGGAUGGAGGCAAUCAAAAAAAGAGUGGUGCUGAAUCAGGAAAUGAUAGUGGAGAUGGUGAUAAAGUAAAUAGUCGUGCCAUGGAAAAUGGCAAUGGGCGUUCUAAAGUUAGUAAGGGAAAUGGAGUAGUGCAGGCUAACGGUAAAGAGAACAGAAGUUCUGAUUCUGGGGCUUUUGAUGUAAAUAAGCUACAGAAGCUUAGGGCUAAAGGUGGAAAGAAAACCGAUACCAUUGUAAAGGAUUCCAAGGCAGAGCCUACAAAAAAGGCAAAGAAGAACAGAGUCUGGGAUGAUUCACCUAAGGAGUCGAAAUUGGAUUUCACGGAUCCUAUGUGUGAGAAUGCAAAUGGAAAUACAGCAGUUGUAGAAGCAGUUCAAGGUGAGAGUAUGAUGGACAAAGAGGAGAUUGUGAGUAGUGAUAGUGAGACUGAGGAGGAUGAAGAGCCAGGGAAAGACAGCAAGGUCGAGGCAAAGAAGAAAGGUUGGUUCUCAUCCAUGUUCCAGAGUAUCGCAGGAAAGGCAAAUUUGGACAAAGCUGACUUAGAGCCAGCUUUAAAAGCUCUUAAGGACAGGCUGAUGACCAAGAAUGUGGCCGAAGAAAUUGCUGAAAAGCUUUGUGAAUCAGUGGCAGCAAGUUUGGAGGGUAAAAAGCUUGGCUCAUUUACAAGAAUUUCUUCAACAGUUCAGGCAGCAAUGGAGGAGGCCCUUGUUCGGAUCUUAACUCCUAAACGUUCCAUUGAUAUCUUGAGGGAUGUUCAUGCCGCAAAGGAACAGGGGAAACCAUAUGUUGUGGUUUUCGUAGGAGUAAAUGGGGUUGGAAAGUCUACCAAUCUUGCGAAGGUUGCUUAUUGGCUUCAGCAGCACAAGGUCAAUGUUAUGAUGGCUGCGUGUGACACAUUUCGAUCUGGAGCUGUAGAGCAGCUCCGUACUCAUGCUCGAAGACUUCAGGUCCCCAUAUUUGAGAAGGGCUAUGAGAAGGAUCCUGCUAUUGUUGCCAAGGAAGCAAUCC